AGCCAGCUGCGCGUGCGCGCAGUUCGAGAGGCGAGAGAUAAUCGUUACCUUCUCCGUCCCUUCAUCACCGUUUUAAUCGUCCUUCUCAUCAGUACAGCCCUGGAAAGAGACUAGGCUGCUUUAGGAUUACACAGACCUCCUGCAUCCGCAGGUUUUCUCUUUUUAUCCUAGACAGGCCGGAGCAGGUGCUAGCAGUGGACCACUGAACCUACAACAGCAAUGGAGAAACUCAAUUCCAACUCCACCUUGAGGAAGAAGUCACCCAACCCUCAGAGGAUGUACCAGGAAGGCUCUCAACUCCACAAUCCAAUCAGGAGAUUCCAACAGUUACAUGCACAGUUGAUAGUGCACCAGUCAUGCUUAGUUGCAUUUUUUCAGAAGUGAUCUUGAUUUCAACUCUUUUGUCAAUUACCAUAUUAUAAUCCACCAACAAGCAUUAUUGAGUAAAAUUAUAGACUUUUCUCAUGUAGUUGUUGUUAAAGUUAUAAACUCAAUUCCAGCAAGAGCCCUUUUCUGAUGAAGGGUCUAGGCCCAAAACAUUAGCUUUUGUGCUCCUAAGAUGCUGCUUGGCCUGCUGUGUUCAUCCAGUUCCACGCUUUAUUAUCCAGCAAGGGCCCUCUUGCAUCCCUUGACUAAAUCUUUGCUCAUCAAAUGUGAUGCCGCCUAUGGUGAACAAGUCCUCUUGGCUGAUUUGAGGUAGUUAAGUCGAGCGAAGGUCAUGAUUUUUUGUCACUUUUCAAAAAUCAAGAGCUGUCAGACAAUGCAUGGCUACUUGACUUCAGGUUCCUUACAAAUGUAACUUCAAAACCGGACGAGCUAAGCUGUGAACUACAGAGAAAAAUUUAGCACGUGGGAUCAGGGCUGUGAAUGCAUUCAAAUUGAAGCAGGGUCUGUGAUUUUUCCAAUUUAAAAAAUAGAACACUUCAACAUUACUUUCAUCUAGAGAAACUACAAAAAAAUCAAAAGAAAGGUAAAGACCUAGAGACCCAAGUAGUUUUCCCAGUCACCAGAACAAUACUCAGACUCCACCUUAUGUAAGAUCAUUGGAAGCAUUACACACUACAAGAAGCAUGCUGCUCUGUUUAAAUUAAUAGCUUAAUGUCAGCCCACAGACUGAUGCACCUGAGAGGCAUAGUUAUUGCAUCUAAUACUAAGCUGCAAUAAACAUCUGUUCCAUUUUUGAA